AUACCAACUCCUAUUCUAUAGGGUCUUGGGCUUCGCCUCUAGGCGGGUCUUAAAAUCAGUGGCGGUGCCUUGAGGCUCUACGCGUAGUAAUACUCCUCGCGAUAGACGUCUUAGGGUGUCUAGCCAGCAACCCCCAACUUCUUCG
rnacentral:misc_RNA from 1 species